GAUGAACGCUGGCGGCGUGCCUAAUACAUGCCAGUCGAACGAACAGCCGAGGAGCUUUCCCCCCUGCAGUUUGAGGGGGGCAGGUGAGAGAAACGUGGAUACAAUCCCCCCUAGACUGGGGGACCACAGGGGGAAAGGAGCUCAUACAGCGCAAACGAUCGAACCGCAGGGUUCAAGAGUGAAAGAAGGUUGUCCCGACACUUAUAGAUGGAUCCGCGCUGCGUUAGCUAGUUGGUAAGGUAACGGCUUACCAAGGCAACGAUGAGUAGCCGACCUGAGAGGGGGACCGCCCACACUGGAACUGAGACACGGCCCAGACUCCUACGGGGGGCAGCAGUAGGGAAUCUUCCGCAAUGGGCGAAGGCCUGACGGAGCAACGCCGCGUGGGUGAGGAAGGUCUUCGGAUCGUAAAACUCUUUUAUUAGGGAAGAACAAAUGUGUACGUAACUUUGCACGUCUUGACGGUACCGAAACAGAAAGCCACGGCUAACUACGUG
rnacentral:rRNA from 1 species